rnacentral:tRNA from 1 species
GCCUGGGUGGCUCAGUCGGUGGAGCGUCUGACUUCGGCUCGGGUCAUGAUCUCACAGCUCUGUGGGUUCGAGCCCCACCUCGGACU